AAAGACUUCUGCGCAUAGCCUGCAACGCUCUAUAAAUCGGUGUUUUCAAACAGGAAACUGUUCCCAUAUGUUGCACCCAAAAGCUGCCAGCACUCUCAGAGCCAGAGGCUUUCAAUAGGUUUGCACCACUUUGACUUCACGCUUCGUCUGCGGGCACAGCAGCCAAACAACCUGGCGGCGGAUUUCAGGAAAGCUAGAGGAAACUUAGGAGAAGCUGCAGCAGAGCGGAGCUUGUGCUGCUUGCAGGCUCCGAGUGCACAGCCCUGUCUGCUGCUGCGAUGCAACCCCUCCUCCCCCUGCUGCUCAGGAGCUUUUGCCUGGAGCUGGGAACUGCACACGGCUGAGCUCCCAAGUCUGAGCAUGGCUCUGAGAAGACCACGAAGCUGGAGGUCACAGACUCCUGCAGACCUGGGAGCUGGCACAUGUUCUAGGAGCCUUCUACUUCCCAAACCCUUCAUCUGUGCUAAGGACAGAGCAGACACAGCUCAAAGGCGCUCACACCUGGAAGGAUCUCCGUUUGGAUUCUACUGCUGUUAACAGAGCCCUGCAGACCUACUCGUAUCCACAGUGGGAAAAGAGGAAAAUUCUUUGAGACGGCAAGACACUUUUGAAAGUGGGGAGUGGAAAGAGGCAGUUUUUCCCCUCCUUCCCUGUUUGGGAGAAAGGAGUUGCCCAACCUGGUCAUGAGACUGUUCCAUACUUCCCCAAAGCAGGCUCCUGAAGUUCUGACACUGCACCACUGGGAGCCUCGGGUAGCGUAGCCCAGAGCAGCCCCCCGCAGCACACCCAGGGCGCAGGCAACCUGCUAGGCACGGGAGAUGGAGAAUGAGGUUGGCAAAUCUGUGGACAAUCAAAUGGACAGAUACAUAGUUACAAUAAUGGGGAAAUCAGAAAGUCAAAUGGAUAUUGUGGAAAAAUCAACAAAAUCUGGGAAGAAAUCCUGGAGCUUUGUGGCAAUCGGUCUGGCUGUCUUGCUGCUCCUCAUGACUUGUGCAGUGGUCGCCCUGGUGAUCCUGUAUGCCAGCAGCAGAGGCACUCACUAUGGCACCAAUUCAGGCAACACAUGUACCACACCUGGAUGCAUUACAGCAGCUGCUAGAAUAAUUCAGAAUAUGGACCCAACAGCUGACCCUUGCAAGGAUUUCUACCAGUAUGCCUGUGGGGGCUGGCUGAACCGGCAUGUUAUCCCAGAAACUAGUUCCAGAUACAGCAUUUUUGACAUCCUGAGAGACGAGCUGGAGAUCAUCCUAAAAGGUGUGCUGGAGACUUCAGAUCAAGGGGACAGAGAAGCAUUUCAGAAAGCUAAAAUACUUUACAAGUCAUGCAUGAAUGAGAGUCUUAUAGAGCAACGAGAUUCAUCGCCUCUACUAGAGGCCUUAACAAUGGUUGGCGAUUGGCCAGUGGCUUCUGCAGACUGGAAUAAGACCAAAGAGCCAAACUGGAGCAUGGAAGAAAAACUCUCUAUAAUGAACUCCAGAUUUAACAAACGUGUCCUCAUUGACAUGUUUGUAUGGAAUGAUGACCGGGAUUCCAGCAGACACAUCAUUUAUAUUGACCAGCCAAGUUUAGGAAUGCCAUCCAGGGAUUACUACUUUAAUGGGGGCAACUACCAAAGAGUGAGAGAGGCUUACCUGCAGUUCAUGAUCACCAUCGCCAAAAUGAUCCGGGAAGACAAGAAUAUGUCUAAAGACGAUUCUUUUGUCCAGGAGGAAAUGGCAAAGGUUAUGGAGCUUGAAACAGAGAUUGCAAACGCAACCACCCCAGCAGAAGAAAGGCAUGAUGUAACCUUGUUGUACAACAAAAUGACCUUAAAAGAGCUACAGGAAAAGUUUGCAUUGAAUGAAUUUAACUGGACCUUCUUCAUCCAAGGUGUCAUGUCUUCCGUGAGUGUUCAGGUAGACCCAGAAGAAGAGGUGGUUGUAUACGGCAUGCCCUAUCUGCAAGAGCUGAAAGCAAUUAUCUCAAAGUACUCAGCAAGCACCAUCCAGAACUACCUCAUCUGGCGAUUGGUAAUUGAUCGAGUCAGCAGCUUGAGUCGGCGUUUCAAGGAUGCUCGGGCCAGCUACAGGAAGGCACUUUACGGGACGACACUGGAAGAAGCCCGCUGGAGGGAGUGUGUGAGUUAUGUCAACAACAACAUGGAGAACGCAGUGGGAGCAAUGUAUGUCAGGGAGACAUUUGCUGGUGAGAGCAAGAGGAUGGUCCGAGAUUUAAUAGAUAAGAUUCGUGAAGCAUUCAUUGAGACUUUAGAUGAGUUACAGUGGAUGGAUGACACAUCUAAGGAGAAGGCUCGUGAGAAGGCAAUGGCAAUUAAAGAACAAAUUGGCUAUCCAGAUUAUAUUUUGGAAGAUCAGAAUGAAAAACUAGAUCAGGAAUAUGCCAACUUAAACUUCAGUGAACACAAUUACUUUGAAAACAUUCUGGAAAACCUGAGAGCUGGAGCCCAAAAGAGCUUGAAAAAACUUCGAGAGAGAGUUGAUCAAGAUAUAUGGAUAAUUGGAGCUGCAGUGGUCAAUGCAUUCUAUUCCCCCAAUCGGAACCAGAUAGUUUUUCCUGCCGGGAUUCUCCAGCCCCCCUUCUUCAGCAAACACCAACCACAAGCCCUGAACUUUGGGGGGAUCGGGAUGGUUAUUGGGCAUGAAAUUACUCAUGGGUUUGAUGACAACGGUAGGAAUUUUGAUAAAGAUGGAAAUAUGUUUGACUGGUGGAGCAAUUUCUCAGCUAUGCAUUUCAAGGAGCAGUCUCGUUGCAUGGUUUAUCAGUACGGGAACUACACAUGGGAGCUGGCUGGAGGACAAAAUAUCAGUGGAAUAAGCACAUUAGGAGAAAAUAUUGCAGAUAAUGGAGGAGUCCGACAGGCUUAUAAGAUCCAAUCACAGUGUAGGAUUGCUGGCAUUCUUGCACCCAGAAGACCACCUCAUUCUCCUAGCUAUCCCUCGAUGUACUGCAAUGCUUGAUGCUGCAUACUUCUGUCUCAGGUAAACAAGGGCAAUGUUCAUAAAUAGGCACCGUAUUAGCUAGGAAAAAGGUAAAACACCCUCCAUUUUCCAAAGCCCUUAAUUUUGGAAAUGGCAGCUACGACUUCAAACAGCUUGUCACACGGCAACAGAGCACUAAUUUCUUGGCAACACAGUUUGGUGAUAUUAUGAAGCAGAGCAACUGGUUUUUUCCAAGUUUAUUUCUCUCACGCUUUUCAUCUUUGAUCUCAAAAGUGACAUGUCAGGUAGGACAUGAAAAGAAUAGAUGGAAAUACCAUCUCUUUCCCAAGAGGGAUACAGAUCGCAUCUACCAAAAUACCCAUCUCUAAAAGCCUAGCUCCUUUUUUUGCUUUAUUUAGGUGUUUUAUAAGCUUUAGGAAGAGAACACAAAGAAGUCCCUUCUACCUUGCUGCUAUUUACUUUUCAUGCAGCCAGAAAGCAGAAUAAAAAUGCAAGGACUGAUAAUCUCAGAACCGCCUGCCUCUUUCCAAGGUAAAACGUUGCUUGAACCAGUCAGUUACUUUCAAACGAAGAGGAACGCAACUGAUAUUUCAGAGCACUGCCUCCGUGCUGGGUUCAAAACCUGUUGUUCAGCAUGGUUAUCUCUGUUGCAAACACUAUCGUGUAUCGCCUUAUUUCUCCUGCUCUACCAGGGGAAGUCAGCCGGCAGACUCAGGGGAGUCCAGUAUCUUUGAUCCUCCAGGUCUAGAAACCAUUGUUACGAAUAGGAACACGGUAUUUAUCAACACAAAGGCUCUUUCCAUCUGGAGCUCAGGUGCGAGCAUGGAAUGUUCUUUUCUACAAAUAAUCCUAACAGAUGUCACCGUAAAACUUUUUAUCUCUGGUGGUUUGAAUAUGGCAGCAGUUAAGGGUGUUUAUAGAAGAACAUCCUGAAUUUUCAGAGAUCUAACCUGACAAUUCUCACUCUGAGGGAUACCAUUAAAAUUAAUUACUUCGUUAAAGUGAAUACGUACUUCGUUCUAAGAGCUAUUACAAAUGUGGAAGAGUCGUGUGGUACGACAUAAACUGCCUGCAUGCAGAAUCCUCCCAUGUUCCGUGGUGCUGAAUGUAUUUUUACCCUCAGCUCUACGUUUUAUGUUUUCUGUGCUUUGGGACUAUCUCAGCAACUAAGAGGAUAAGGUAAUAGGACGUUUGAUAUUAACCAGCAUGAGGACACAUUAACUUGUCUCCAUUAUGUCAAUAUAGCUAAAAAAAGAAAAUUGGCCAAUUAAUGUGUAACAAUAACAGGUAAUGGAUUUAACAUUGAGCAAGGUUAUUAUCCGCUAUUUUAUGAGCAGUUACCUGAAGAGAUAAAAAUCAUCACCAUAGAACUGAAGCAAAGACUUAACACUUUAUUUCCAGCUACAAAUUCCUAUAGACAUAGUCAUAUGAAAGCUGAUGAUUUUACUGCAAACUGCGGUCGUGGGCAUUCGGUCUCCAUAGCAUUACUGAUUUAAUAUCUAUCUCCAGCUAUACUUAAACAUGAUAUUAGCAGUCACGCUUUGUCAUGCUUCCUUGCUGAGACACAAUAGCAAACCAGUGGUCCAUCGGAGUAGUGGCAUACCCUUCGCUGAAACAGCGUGUGCCUCCUUGCUGAGGAAAUUCAGAAUAGAUCUCCAAGUGACCCCUAAAGAACACGCGUAGGUUCUUGCGGCAAAGGUCAACUGGCCAACCAUAACUACCACUCUGAAAGGCUGCUUCCAUAUGAGAGACUGGUUUUUUUUCCUGUUUUGUAAGUUUUCAGCUCAGAGAUUACCGUAUUUAAGAAGCUGAAGACAAAUUAUCUGUGUUUCAUUUUUUUACCAGAAGAGUCAACAGAGUACGUACGUUGACAGGUUUUUCAUAAAAUUAGCUGUAUUAUUUGUAUUAGAAAGAUAAAAAUGACAAAAAUACAGAAGGGAAGAUAUGUUGGGUUCAUGCACAUUGUGGCUAAAAUCUCUCACCCCAAAAUAAUAUUUAAAAAACCCAUUUAAAAAACUCUGAAUUGAAUCUAUGAUCAUUUCUAGGCCUACCUAAAAUGGCUGGAACGGGAAGGGAAGGAGCCAAAGUUGCCUGGACUGAAUCUGUCCCACAAACAGCUUUUCUUCCUCAACUUUGCUCAGGUUUGGUGUGGUUCCUACAGACCAGAAUAUGCUAGCCAGUCAAUAAAGACAGAU